rnacentral:rRNA from 2 species
UACGUAGGUGGCAAGCGUUGUCCGGAAUUAUUGGGCGUAAAGCGCGCGCAGGCGGUUAGGUAAGUCUGAUGUUAAAGCCCGGGGCUCAACCCCGGUUCGCAUUGGAAACUGCGUAACUUGAGUGCAGAAGAGGAAAGUGGUAUUCCACGUGUAGCGGUGAAAUGCGUAGAGAUGUGGAGGAACACCAGUGGCGAAGGCGACUUUCUGGUCUGUAACUGACGCUGAGGCGCGAAAGCGUGGGGAGCAAACAGG